CCCUUAGAUGUUCGGGGCCGCACGCGCGCUACACUGAUGGGGUCAGCGUGUUUGCACGUCCUGGUCCGGCAGGAUUGGGCAAUCCGUUGAACCUCCGUCGUGAUUGGGAUCGGAGCUUGUAAUUAUUCUCCGUGAACGAGGAAUUCCCAGUAAGCGCAAGUCAUCAGCUUGCGUUGAUUACGUCCCUGCCCUUUGUACACACCGCCCGUCGCUACUACCGAUUGAAUGCUCAGGUGAGCCAUUCGGACUUUCAUCAUGCUGGUUUCCAGUUUUGAUGAAGGAAAGUCUUGCGAACCUUAUCAUUUAGAGGAAGGAGAAGUCGUAACA
rnacentral:rRNA from 1 species